GCCGCAGUGGGUGCAAAACACACGCAGAGAACGGAAGCAACAGUGGUCAGUAGGAGAUUGGCCCCAGCUAAAUAGAUGAACCCCAUGAGGUGAAUAUAACAUUGAGAGUGUGGUUAGGAAUGCAACAAACCUUUCUUUCUCUAUGAAACUAACUGCGGCAAGAAGCUUGUAGCCAGCAAUAUUCUCAACUGCAAGGUUAAUGAGGGUGGCAAUUAUACCAGUUAAAAGUCCAACAAGGAAGGCGAGAAUCCAUUUCAAGAAUAUAUACUGCAAGACUUGGACUUUGGAUCUGCUUCUCCAGUCAUGCUUAAAGAGAUCAUUCUCGUUGAUCCUGCAUCAAACCAACUCCAAUUCAAUGUGAGGAUGAAGAGAAUAAGGAUUUAGCAUUUGGGAGUUGCUUUCAAGUGAAACUUGAAAUGGGAUGUGUGU